UGGGGAAUAUUGCACAGUGGGCGCAAGCCUGAUGCAGCGACGCCGCGUGAGGGAUGACGGCCUUCGGGUUGUAAACCUCUUUCAAUAGGGACGAAGCGCAAGUGACGGUACCUAUAGAAGAAGGACCGGCCAACUACGUGCCAGCAGCCGCGGUAAUACGUAGGGUCCGAGCGUUGUCUGGAAUUACUGGGCGUAAAGAGCUCGUAGGUGGUUUGUCGCGUUGUUCGUGAAAACUCACAGCUUAACUGUGGGCGUGCGGGCGAUACGGGCAGACUAGAGUACUGCAGGGGAGACUGGAAUUCCUGGUGUAGCGGUGGAAUGCGCAGAUAUCAGGAGGAACACCGGUGGCGAAGGCGGGUCUCUGGGCAGUAACUGACGCUGAGGAGCGAAAGCGUGGGGAGCGAACA
rnacentral:rRNA from 1 species